UACGUAGGGUGCAAGCGUUGUCCGGAAUUAUUGGGCGUAAAGAGCUCGUAGGCGGUUCGUUGCGUCUGCGGUGAAAUCUCGGGGCUCAACUCCGAGACUGCCGUGGAUACGGGCGAACUGGAGUCCAGCAGGGGAGAUCGGAAUUCCUGGUGUAGCGGUGAAAUGCGCAGAUAUCAGGAGGAACACCGGUGGCGAAGGCGGAUCUCUGGGCUGGUACUGACGCUGAGGAGCGAAAGCGUGGGGAGCAAACAGG
rnacentral:rRNA from 1 species